rnacentral:tRNA from 1 species
AAGAGGUUAGUUAAAUAAAUAACAUUAGAAUGUCAAACUAAAAUUAUUGAUAAAUCAAUACCUCUUA